UCCUCGUUUAAGCGAGGCAGUCUGUCCCGAGUGCUCCGAUCUUGCGAUCGGGUGGCAACAGGACACAAGGGUUGCGCUCGUUGCGGGACUUAACCCAACAUCUCACGACACGAGCUGACGACAGCCAUGCAGCACCUGUGCACGCUGGUAUUGCUACCUCGUUAGGCUUUCACCCUUCUACUACGUGCAUGUCAAGGCCAGGUAAGGUUCUUCGCGUUGCAUCGAAUUGAGCCACAUACUCCACCGCUUGUGCAGGCCCCCGUCAAUUUCUUUGAGUUUUAAUCUUGCGACCGUACUUCCCAGGCGGCACGUUUAACGCGUUGGCUACGCCACAAAAGGGGUCGAUUCCUUUUACAGCAAACGUGCACCGUUUACGGCUAGGACUAC
rnacentral:misc_RNA from 1 species